rnacentral:lncRNA from 1 species
UGCUACAAUUCUUUAGCAUUUUCAACUGUCACCUUUGCUUUUUCGACUGCCACCUCAACUUUAAUUUGGACAAAAUUGCAAAUUGUGGACGAUUAAGAACAAAUUAAAAAUUGAUGUAUUUAUUGAUCAAAUUAAAAAAUGAUGAUAUGAAUCAAAAAAUGAAAAAAAAAAAUGUAUUUUCCGGCUAUUACCCCAUUAUUGAAACCCCUCUUGCAUAUCUUCAAUUUCCCAUUAUCCAAGAACCAAC